CACUGUAAAUAUAUACAAUUUUUAUUUAAAGUUAGAAAAAUUAUUUUAAAAUAAACCAAAAAGGCAGUCCGUAAGCUUCUGUUGAAUGGAUAAAAAUCUCUACUAUAAACAAAAACAUAAUAUACAAAGGUAUUAAGAUUUGGAAGAAAACCUAAGAGAGUAUUAACAGUAGUGACUACUGGGGAUCACCGAGAUACAGGGUAUUAAGGAUGGAAGGUUUAUUUUUCAAUGGAUCUUUGGGAAGUUUUAAAACAUACAUGCUCAACCUUUAAAAAUUACUCUAGGGGAAAUCCCUUCUCCACAUCCUAUAGGUGUGCUUCCUUCUUCCUCUCCAUACACUUCACUAUCAAAACCUACAUUACUUCCAACAGUCGAC
rnacentral:lncRNA from 1 species